CCUACGGGUGGCAGCAGUGGGGAAUAUUGGACAAUGGGCGAAAGCCUGAUCCAGCAAUGCCGCGUGAGUGAUGAAGGCCUUAGGGUUGUAAAGCUCUUUUACCCGAGAUGAUAAUGACAGUAUCGGGAGAAUAAGCUCCGGCUAACUCCGUGCCAGCAGCCGCGGUAAUACGGAGGGAGCUAGCGUUGUUCGGAAUUACUGGGCGUAAAGCGCACGUAGGCGGCUUUUUAAGUCAGGGGUGAAAUCCCGGGGCUCAACCCCGGAACUGCCCUUGAAACUGGGAAGCUAGAAUCUUGGAGAGGCGAGUGGAAUUCCGAGUGUAGAGGUGAAAUUCGUAGAUAUUCGGAAGAACACCAGUGGCGAAGGCGACUCGCUGGACAAGUAUUGACGCUGAGGUGCGAAAGCGUGGGGAGCAAACAGGAUUAGAUACCCCUGUAGUC
rnacentral:rRNA from 1 species